GACGAACGCUGGCGGCGUGCUUAACACAUGCAAGUCGAGCGGAGCGGCGGACGGGUGAGUAAUGCCUAGGAAUCUACCUGGUAGUGGGGGAUAACGUCCGGAAACGGGCGCUAAUACCGCCUACUAUAAGAUGAGCCUAGGUCGGAUUAGCUAGUUGUGUGGGUAAAGGCCUUCCAAGGCGACGAUCCGUAACUGGUCUGAGAGGAUGAUCAGUCACACUGGAACGGAGACACGGUCCAGACUCCUACGGGAUGCAGCAGUGGGGAAGAUUGGACAAUGGGCGAAAGCCUGAUCCAGCCAUGCCGCGUGUGUGAAGAAGGUCUUCGGAUUGUAAAGCACUUUAAGUUGGGAGGCGUUACCAACAGAAUAAGCACCGGCUAACUUCGUGCCAGCAGCAUCGGUAAUUC
rnacentral:rRNA from 1 species